GACGAGGCACACGGACCCCACGAGCGCGGCGGCGGCGACAGCAGCGGGCCAGGCAAGAGCACAACAUGGCGGCGGGCAGGACGGACCGAGCUACAGCAGCGGCCGCGCGAGGAAGUGAGGUCUCUGGCGAAGGCGGGAAGCGCUGCCCCUCCCCCCGCCGCCGCUUCCCUAUCACCCUCGCACAGAAACUCCCGCACACUCACACACCUCUGCUCAGGAGUCCAGGAAGAGCAGGAGCCGCCCCCGCGCUCCUACGGAGUCGGGCAAUGCAGAGGCCCAGGCGCGGCGGAGGGGAGGGGGAAGUGUGCGUCACGGAGAACGGAGCGCGCGCGAAGCGGGGGCACAAGCAAGAUGGCGGCCACGCCGUUUGCACCGUUUCCCCUUUUCCCUUCCCCCUCCCUUGGCGCCUGGACUCCCAGUAUCGUGCGGUGCGCAGAAGCUGUGCUCCUUGAGGUCUCGCGAGAAUUGGGAAGGGGCGACGACAGAGGGAGGCGGAAUGAGAUCUGAGAGUUUUAACCCCGCCCCCUUUCGGGAGCUCGAGAUCUGAGUUUUGACCCCGCCCCCUUUCGGGGGAUCCGGAGGCGCUGCCCAGUGACCUCCACCACCCUGCCUAUCCUUGUGGAUCUCCUUGGUGCGAGCUUGAAUUUUAGGAAAUAAGUAGGUGUGUGCGCGUGCCCUUGAGUUUUAGGAACUAAGUAGGGGCGUGUGUGUGUAUUUGUGUUUUUAAUUUGGGGAGAAAGAACUGGGGGAUGAAGGUCGACAUGGCGUUCCAGAUUAAGCAUGCCGUUCAAGUAGACAGCUACUGGCACCUUAAAUUCAUAAAAGAGCAUUUAGCACCAAACUGUAAAGUGAUGUCCUCUAGAAUAAAGAACAGUACUUACCAAGAAUAGUUAGCUUGUAACCUUACGUCGACAUAGUUGUUCUUAUUUGAAUGCAGAUUUUAAAGUUUUAUCACGCAGUUGGAAACCACAGCUACUAUGAGCAUGGAUUUUUUCAUACUUAUCUCUUUCAUUUCCGUGACCACUUGGUCCAAAGGCAUCAGGAUUGUAUCCAUUUUACAAAUGAUAAAACUGAAGCUCAAAAAGGUUAAGUAACUUGAUCUAAGUCCCCACAGCUAGUAAGUGUCAAAACCCCAUCCGAAUAACUUCAAAACCUGUAGGUAUAGUCAUCAAAUGUGUCUUGAAUGGAAUUACCUACAGUGAGAGUUAGUGCAUUAGGUAACAAGCGCAGAGAGGAAUGACUGCCUCUGCUGAUGGUAACCUUGAAUUUUACAAAUGACACUGGAGCCUUUCUGAGACUAGUGUUGCAUGGGUCCUCAAUAAAAUCACACUGUUGUUACUCACUUCCUUUGGGUUUAUAACCCUGGUGAUAAAGUAAUUGAGAAUAGUGGAGUAAACCCUCGACUUGAAUUCAGGAAAAUUGUUUUCAAAUCCAGUUUCAAUAAAUCUCACAUCAGGCACUCUAUUUGAUGAAUGAAUGAACAAAACCUAACUAUAAGACACUUGACUUCAGGGAGUCUCAAUUCCUUCAUCUGUAAAAAGAUCUAAUUCCUAACUUUUGGUAAUGUUGGGGAGAGUGAAUGAAAUAAUGUGAGAGUGCUUCGUAAAUUGCAAAAGUGUUAUAAAGAAGUUACUGGUAAGAGCUACGAGUGUCUCGCUGCACUCUAGCAUGGGCGACAGUGCGAGGCCCUGUCUC
ensembl:lncRNA NFYC-AS1 NFYC antisense RNA 1